GGUGAUGAGGGUUAACUGGGACACCUCCCCAUUGACAGUUGGUUCCUCUGAUCUACAAAGCUGACCCUGUUCCUACAGCACUGCCCCAUGUUCUUCUCUCCCAAAGCUGUGCCCACUGUCAAGAUGGCCAUCAUAGUGAGCAGGGACCAUUCCUUGCCCAAGGGUUCUUGAGUUCCUGUGCUCCCCUGCUAGAACUUCCAGUUUGAGGCUUAGUAAACUCCUCUGUGAGUGUAGCACUGUGCUGGGCACUGGAGGCAAAUGGAACAAAGUAUAGAAUCACUUUAGCUUUCAAAGAAAUGCUAUAAAU
rnacentral:sRNA from 1 species